UGAAUACAAAAGCGCGUUACCGGGAACGAGAGUGGACAAGAACAGAACAGAACGGAGCAGAAGAAGCGAAGAAGAAGAAGAAGAAGAAGAGUUAAUGGAGGAUUUAUGGAAGAGAGCGAAAUCCUUCGCAGAAGAAGCGGCGAAGAAGUCACAGACCUUAACGUCGACCUCCACACUCACUGAAUUGGUCUCUGAAACUGCCAAAAAGUCCAAGGAGCUUGCUGCUGAGGCCUCCAAGACUGCUGAUCUCAUCAAAACAGCCGCCAUCAAGCAGGCCGAUCAUCUCAAAUCACUCAACGUUUCCGACAUUAUACCUCCUCAACUACCUUCCAUUUCCAUCCCCAAUUUCUCCGCUCCCUCGCCGCAUUCUCAGUCUGAGCUCGAGAAGUUUGGCCUCAAUGACGAUCUGAGAGAGUUUGUUAGGGGCUUUACUUCAACUACUUUCAAGAACUUUCCGAUCCAAGACGAACCGGAGGCGUCUGACGUUGCGGUUACGGCUUCUAAUGUGCGUAAGGAUCUGACGGAAUGGCAAGAACAGCACGCCACGCUGGUUCUCACCAAUGUCAAGGAAAUUUCCAGAUUAAGAUAUGAACUAUGUCCAAGAAUUAUGAAAGAAAGGAUAUUCUGGAGGAUAUAUUUUACACUUGUCAGCAGUCAUGUUGCUCCAUACGAGAAGAAAUACAUGGAAGAGAUUAAGCUGAAGUCUGAAGAACAAAGAACAGCUGAUGAAACCAAGCAAACUCCGUUGGUUGGUUCCUCUGAAAAAGUUGAAGUGGCGGAAAAGAACCUGAAGGGUAAAACUUCCCCAACGCUGUCUACUGAUCAAGACUUGGAUACUUUUCUUUUGGGAGAUCUUGAAGACAGUGAUGGGGGAGGUGCAGAUGAGGGUGACGAAAGCUUUGACGACGACUUUGACAAGAUUGAAAACUCGGACGUCGAAGAAGAAAAUCCCAAGGCGAAGUAAUACAAUAAGAAGCAGAUGCAACAGGUGAGAUGGGGUUUUUUAAUAGGAUCGUGGCUUAGCUUCCAUAACAAAAGGAAGAAUGGGCUGCUGAGAAGAAAGUCGUGGUGCAUACUCAUACUAUAGCGAGGUAUUGCAAGUUGUUUCAUUCCCAAAAAUAAGGAAAAAUGAAGAAGAUUGUUGUUCUAGAAAUACCAGUAAAUUUUAGUCUAUGCCGAUUGUAUUCAAUUGUAUAAACAAGGCUGACAUUGGAUGACGACUCUAUAUAGUACUGGGGAUGGCUGGUAUUCCCUUGCUCGCAGUUGUACAGAAUCUACAGAUGAAUUUGUUAAAUCGAUUAUGGUUGUUUGGAAUUAUUCUACUUGCGGAUGAACAUAACUUCCUUUUGGAGCUCUUUUUCUUAGUUAGAAACAGAAGGCGAUGCAGAAACGAAGUGCCUUCUGAAUCCCCACCUGCUACUAAAAAAGCUUUCAUGGCCGACUGUCUGAUUCUGCUGCUACUACUCUUCUCCAAGAUGAUAAGACAAAUUCCCUGGUAUGCUCAUCUCUUAUACUUGAGGACUGAUAUUGUUUAUGUUCCGUUGAAAAUAGAAUAUAUAACCGUAAGCUUCCAAGUAGUGGGGCCAAUUAGGACUCACACCACGUGCCUGUUGAAAAAUGAGUUGAUUACUCAUAAGCAGUGACUUGGUUAGGAGUUCUCUCUCAGCUUAGUUCUUUUUGUUUCGUUUGAUAGAUGGUCGACAAGUAUGAUGGUGUCUUAAUGAUGAAUAUGCACGUAUUUUAUGUCUUUUAUUGGCGAAUUUGAAAACCUCA